rnacentral:rRNA from 1 species
UCGUAACAAGGUCUCCGUUGGUGAACCAGCGGAGGGAUCAUUACCGAGUUUACAACUCCCAAACCCCUGUGAACAUACCUAUACGUUGCCUCGGCGGAUCAGCCCGCGCCCCGUAAAAAGGGACGGCCCGCCCGAGGACCCCUAAACUCUGUUUUUAGUGGAACUUCUGAGUAGAACAAACAAAUAAAUCAAAACUUUCAACAACGGAUCUCUUGGUUCUGGCAUCGAUGAAGAACGCAGCAAAAUGCGAUAAGUAAUGUGAAUUGCAGAAUUCAGUGAAUCAUCGAAUCUUUGAACGCACAUUGCGCCCGCCAGUAUUCUGGCGGGCAUGCCUGUUCGAGCGUCAUUUCAACCCUCAAGCUCAGCUUGGUGUUGGGACUCGCGGUAACCCGCGUUCCCCAAAUCGAUUGGCGGUCACGUCGAGCUUCCAUAGCGUAGUAAUCAUACACCUCGUUACUGGUAAUCGUCGCGGCCACGCCGUAAAACCCCAACUUCUGAAUGUUGACCUCGGAUCAGGUAGGAAUACCCGCUGA